rnacentral:lncRNA from 1 species
UCAUGUUUUCCAGGGGUUUUACUGCAAGAGAACAGACAUGAUCAUCUUGUAAGUUCCCUUAUCAUCAUGUGAAUUAACAUUAUCUUUCCCUGGUUAGAGUCAACUACAGCCAUUCUGUCAAAGAGAAGGCUCUGAACUUGAACUCUCUUGGUGAAACUUGGCCAGGAUUUUCCAGCUCAAGCUGCAUUUCACCCUGGAACACAAGCCACUGAGCUCCCUGGACUUGAAUUUUCAACUUGAUUAACCAACUGGAACCUUUUUUGCGUAGGCAACAGGGACUUAGAGGGAAUUGUCGGGCAGGGCUGGAGGUACGCAGUAGGCACAAUUUAUUUUGUGGACGCUCACCAGCAUUCCAGAGUGAAGUACAGAUCAGUUGCCUUGACAAGAACAUCAGAUCCCCAGCUAUCCUGUCCCGAGAAGCCAUCAAGAGGAGAGAGAUCCCAGACCACUUAGCGGACCUCAUGUUUCUUACCAUGGACCUGGGCCUUUUGCCAAUGGAUGGAAGCCCCUGGCCAGUGAGGUCUCCUCUACAGUGUUUAGAACUUCCUGGGCAGUGAGCGCCACUGAGGUGAGCUUUGGA